rnacentral:lncRNA from 1 species
CUCAUGGUUACUAGUCACAUUACCUUCUGGUGAUGGAUAACGGGAAAUUCUAUGGCACAAUUUUUGAAGACCUCUGGACUGGGAUCUUCUGGAUGCCAUGGGUCAGCCCAAACACAGACAAAACCAAGUUGUGAGGUGGGGGGGAUGAUCCUGAUUCUCAGAUACCCCAUGGUUAGAGACUUGGUUUGGAGCAUGGGGUCCAGAGACAGGCUUUCUCUCAUCUCAUUCUGGUCUUGCCACCCACCCGUUACCUGAUCCCAGGACAGGGUCAUGGCCCCAAGCCUCAGGUUCCCCAUGUGACCAACAGGAACCAUUGCAACACACAGAUGGCUGCUAUGAGAGGUGGGUGGGUUUGUGUGCAUUUCCACACCUGACCACAGGACCUGGAGCCUCUGGUGCAUCCCUGGUAGUGACUGGGACACAUGCUAGGGUGUUUACUCCCAUGCCUUCUUGACUCUCCUUUGAGGAGUGAUGCCAGCCAGAACGUCAUGGAACCCUUCCUGGGUGGGCCAAAUAUGCUUGCUUGGCAAACAGGUCAUGAGGUGCUCUUGCUGUGGCAGAGUGGGUUCACGCUCUGGUGUGUCUCUGUGACAUUGCUGGUUCUAUCCCUGGACCCGAGCAGGGGGUCCAGGAUCCAGCAUUGCUCUCGAUACCUCUGGCCUAGGCUGCACAUUCGGCUUGGACCUCUGGCCCCCACACUCCCAUAUGCUACAGGUAGAGCCGAAAAAGAAAAAAAGGCCUAGUCCCAUCAGGCUCCUGCUGUCAACUGUAGAGUGGUUUGCUUUGAAAGGACACUGAACUUCUCCUGGGGAAAAGGAAUAUAUAUGACAUCCUAACAUACAUAUGGUGUAUUGUACUUUUUGCCUUUUAAGUGUAGGUAGAAGCAUAUGUGUAGCUGUACUCCUCCAUGAUGUAAGUCAUCUAACUAACAUACACAUACAGACACACAGACACACGUACAUGUACAAUCAUCCAUCUGAUAGAGCGUAACAUCACCUCACCAGAGAAAGGCACAUCUUCUCCUUGAGGAGUCACUGUGAGCCUUCUCCAUUUCCCUCCAAGGAUUCCACUCUAAUCUAUUUCAUGAGCUUUCUUCUCAGAUGCCAGAGCUGUGAGAGGAAGGUGGAUGCUGGCUGUGGUGGGGGUGAGGGAAGGAAUGGGACAGGCUGAUAGACACAGGGGACCCCACCCUGGAGAGCUCUGCUCUCCUUUCAGGUCUGCACUUGAGAAGGGCCUCUGAGGUAGGCCUAGUGGUGUUGGAUCCUCCUGGAGCACAGUGUGCCCUGGUGUCCUGAUCUAGGCCCUGGAGUCGAGGUGGAAUUCCCCAGGUCCAGGCAUUUCUCAAAACCGCCUUCCUCUGUCCAUGUGGGCCCUGCCUAUUUCCCACCUCCUCUCUGUCCUUCAUGAUGGGCUGAGGGGUUCACCAAGCCUGACAAGGUCCCAGCCCCACAGAGCCGCAGGCUGCCAUCCCGUUGGAGGUGACCUGUCACAACAGACCCUCAAGCCAUCAGAAAAGAUCCACAGGGAUGAUGUUGGCCAGCAUGUGUGCACUGAAGGCCCUGUGUGCUAGGGAGGGCCUCCGUGGUGGAGAACUACCCCUUUCAGCAUGGUGGCCAGAGAAGGCUUCCUGGAGGAGGUGGCCUUUGAGCUGAGGCUGGAUGAUACAGCUCCAGCCAUGGGAAGAGGCCAGCAACCAGAACGGCCAGUGCAGGUGCCCCAAGGAGGGAAGAAGCCAGGGUUGGAGUUCUCCACAGAAGCCCCCGGAUGCUCAGAGCCAGAUUGGGGAAGGCCUCCCUGGUGCCAAGGGAAAGGGAGGGCAAGGCAUCAGAAGGCUUUGGGGUUGAGGGGUUUGUUUGGCCUUCUUUUGCAUCUGUAAGACAAAUCAAACCAACCACAAAACAAAACAAUAACACAGGGACAAUGCAGGAGGGGAAAGAUGAUGUUCCUUUGACCAGUUCCUCCCAAUUCCUCUCCUAUUCAAGGAAGCUUUGUGAGUUGAAAGGAUCAAUGUGAGACAGCCACAAUGGUUUAGUGCAAAGGGGACCUUUGAUUGGAAUCAAAAUACAGUCCUUAUCCACGUUCAAUGUGAGGGCCCAGGAACCUGAAAUGCAGGUAUUCCUGAGAAUGAUACGAAAUAAAUCCCUUGUUGAGCCAAUCCUGAUGAGGCACGGUGGUGCCAGCAAAUGUAACUUGGAGGAGGGAGAGCAUCAGUUAGAGAGAGCAGUUGGACUGGAAAGAGAGAAAUCCACUCUCCUUGUCUAGGGAGAUGUCUCAGGUGUAGGUGUCGGUGUGGCUGUGGGUGUUGUGACCCAUCUGGUCUGAGCAUGGUAUCCAACCUGUGUGGGGCUUUGGAAGCCUGAGUCCUCCCGGUGUGACCUUCAUGCUUCCAGGGAAACCUGAGGAUUGAGGGGUUGACCUGGGACAUGUGGGCCCCUGUGGGCCCUGUGUGGAAGAUCAGGCACCACAGCCCUGCUCGGGAAAGGCUGGAGCUCGAACUGGAAGUGAGCCAGCCUUUGUCUCAUGGCAGCAUUUCCCCUUCUGAGCUCCAGGAGCUGUCUCUCAGCCCACAGAACUGCCAUCCCUUUUGCGCGGGCUCUAGCCUCAUAGAAGAGGAUCUCUUUCUGGUAAGAGACAGUGGUCCUGGCCACCUCGCUGCACAUGUGUUCCGCUCUCUUCUUGUACACUCUGCCCUGCUGACACAGAGAGCCCAAUCGUCUUCCAUUUCUUCUGGAAGGUGAGGCCACGAGCCUCCUCCUCAAUGGAUCUUCUCAGAAGUAGCUUGAGGUGCUCUUCAUGUCAUUGAGGCAGCAUGCUAAGGUGUGGCCGAGGCUCCUGAAUCUCCCUUUCCAGCUGCAUGUUCUCCACCUUUAAGGACACGAGUCUCUUUGUAGACUUUGUACUUGUCCCACCAGCUCUCCAGUGAUCUGAUGGUCUUUAGGCAGUUUUCUGGAGAUGGCAUUCAUGUCUUCUUCCUGCCAUUGCAGGGACUCAUUUCCUUGACCAGUGACCAUGGGAUCCUUCCGAUUGGCUUCCAGAAGCCAUUCCAGGGGUGGUCAUCAUCCACAACUCGGGUUCCCUCUGCUUAAGAGGGCUCAGGCCAAUGGAUUGUCUUUAGGGUGCUUUAAACCAGAGAUGGCAGAUGGCUCCCUUUCUCCUCCAGGACCCACCGACUCCAUCUUUUAAACAUUCCAUCACAUCUUUUUCUCCCCUCAGGACCCGCAUUCUCUUCUUCCAUCCCUCCGUUUCCUGACAGAGCCAUUCCAUACAUGGCUGAAGAUGAGUGUUUUCCUUCAGCCCAACCAUGAGUUUCUCCUGGAGGUGGUGGACCUUCUCCUGGGAUGUUUUCAAGGCAUUUUGGGCCUCGAACCCUUGGGCUUGGUAGGCUUCUAUGGUCGCUCCAAGGGACUGGAUAUGCCCAUGGAGGUGAGCCCACAUCACCCUAAGACAGCACAGGUGAGAGGUCUUGCUCUUCUGACCUUUGCCAAGGAAGCCUUCCCUGUUGGGAGAUGACCUGUUGGGGAUGUGAUGAAGUGCCACAAAGCACAGGCUUUGCAACGUGGGAGGGCUGGCCUCCAGAGUGGGUGAUGGGAGGUCUUCAAGGCCUUGGGCCAUCAGUCCAAUCUUCACCCGGAAUUUCUGUAGACUUCAGCCCAGCCAGAACCCCUCUCAGCCGGCUCUCUUCCUCUUCUGAAAUGACGCCUGCUCUGGACGACCCAGACCAGCAGAGCGGUUCAGAGUGGGGUCUCCAAGGGACACCCCAGGAGACCCUGAACUCCUCUCAAGGUGUUUGCCACCACCAGGAGUGUGUCCCCCAGGAACUCCAGGGCCAGCAGCCAACACAUUUCGGUGGGAGGCAGCAGGCCCUCUCCGGCCCCACAGGCACCACAGUUUUGCCUCUGACCAUGGGCCAAAACAGACUCCAUGGAACUCUGCCACCCAAACACGCAGGUGCCUGGCAACCAAGGCAGAUGGCUGUUUGGGCUGGGGAAGGGGGAGGCCCUCCAGGUUCUAGAGAGCUCUGUUCUCUGAUGGCUCUGUCCCCUGCUCUGUGAUCUCACCUGAGCACUGCCUUUGGGGCAAGCCAAGGGCAGAUUGCCACCUGGAGCUGGAUGUGGCCACAUGCCAAACUUGAAGGUCAGGCAGUGCCCUGGCUGUGCUGGGUGUCAGGUUUCCCAUCUGGACAAUGAUCAGGCUGGUAGCAAGUCAGACGACCUCAGAUGUUGUCCACCUGUAGGGUGCAUUAGAUUUUCCUGAAAUUCAUACAUUCGUAUAGUCCAACUUCAAAAAGGGCAAAAGGGCAGGACAUGCAAACGGAGUUCCCCUUGUGGCUCAGCAGUAAUGGACCCAAGUCCUCUCCAUGAGGAAGCAGGUGUGAUCCCUGGCCUUGCUCAGUAGGUUAAGGAUCCAUGAACUCUGGAUGAGGUUGCAGAUGCAUCUCGGAUCCUGAGUGGCAUGGCUGUGGCCUUGGCAUAGACCAACAGGUGUAGCUCCAAAUUGACCCCUAGCAUAGAUACUACCCCAUGCCAUGGGUGAGUCACUCCCUCAAUAGUCAAAAUAGAACCUUUUUUUUUUUUUAAGAUACGCUUGCCUUCCUGUUGGUAUUGAGGCAGUGAAGUAAGGAAUCUUUGCAUCUUUGCCCAGGGCAUAAAUUAGUAAGUGAGUUUUUUCAGAAGAAUUAUAUCCACUGAAAUGCUAUCACCAUCUACCCAUGGAUCUACACUGUGUCCUUUAUUGGUCAUCAUAGAAAGAAGAGAAAGACCCACUUCCCAUUAGUUCUUGAAAAAGGUGUGUUUCGUGCAAAGAAAUACUGCUCCAAAGAAUGGGAAGUUCCUCCACCAGGAACAGAGAGCACCACUGCUCCUGGAAAGGUGAAAGGUCAGUCUGCAUGGCUGCUCCAUGAUGUCUGUGUGGAUGGCAAAAGAGGUGGAUAGAGAGAUGGAUGGACUCAGGCAUAAGCCUUAGCACUGCGGUGUGGUGGGUGUGAGGGAAAGGUAGAGAGACAUUAGGUAUGGACAUGUUCUCCUGUGAAAUUAGCAAGAGUGGGCAUGUCAAUGUUUUCC